GACGAACCGUACGAACGUUAUUCGGAAUCACUGGGCUUAAAGAGUGCGUAGGCGGCUUGGCAAGUUGGGUGUGAAAUCCCUCGGCUCAACCGAGGAACUGCGCUCAAAACUGCCAGGCUUGAGGGAGACAGAGGUGAGCGGAACUGAUGGUGGAGCGGUGAAAUGCGUUGAUAUCAUCAGGAACACCGGUGGCGAAAGCGGCUCACUGGGUCUCUUCUGACGCUGAGGCACGAAAGCUAGGGGAGCGAACGGG
rnacentral:rRNA from 1 species